rnacentral:rRNA from 1 species
AUUGAACGCUGGCGGCAGGCCUAACACAUGCAAGUCGAACGAGUGGCGGACGGGUGAGUAAUAUAUGGGAACCUGCCUGAUGGAGGGGGAUAACUACUGGAAACGGUAGCUAAUACCGCAUACCAUCAGAUGUGCCCAUAUGGGAUUAGCUUGUUGGUGGGGUAACGGCUCACCACGGCGACGAUCCCUAGCUGGUCUGAGAGGAUGACCAGCCACACGGGAACUGAGACACGGCCCAGACUCCUACGGUAGGCAGCAGUGGGGAAUAUUGCACAAUGGGCGAAAGCCUGAUGCAGCCAUCCCGCGUGUAUGAAGAAGGCCGUCGGGUUGUAAAGUACUUUCAGCGGUGAGGCGUUAUCCGCAGAAUAAGCACCGGCUAACUCCGUGCCAGCAGCCGCGGUAAUUC